rnacentral:rRNA from 1 species
UACGAGGGGGGCAAGCGUUGUUCGGAAUUAUUGGGCGUAAAGGGCGCGUAGGCGGUGCGGUAAGUCACCUGUGAAAACUCUGGGCUCAACUCAGAGCCUGCAGGCGAAACUGCCGUGCUGGAGUGUGGGGAGAGGUGCGUGGGAAUUCCCGGUGUAGCGGGUGAAAUGCGUAGAUAUCGGGAGGAACACCUGUGGCGAAAGCGGCGCACUGGGACGGUACUGACGCUGAGACGCGAAAGCGUGGGGAGCGAACAGG